rnacentral:rRNA from 1 species
UACGUAGGGUGCGAGCGUUGUCCGGAAUUAUUGGGCGUAAAGAGCUCGUAGGCGGUGUGUCACGUCGGCCGUGAAAACCUGCAGCUUAACUGUGGGCGUGCGGUCGAUACGGGCAUCACUGGAGUUCGGCAGGGGAGACUGGAAUUCCUGGUGUAGCGGUGAAAUGCGCAGAUAUCAGGAGGAACACCCGGUGGCGGAAGGCGGGUC